CCUACGGGAGGCAGCAGUGAGGAAUAUUGGUCAAUGGACGAGAGUCUGAACCAGCCAAGUAGCGUGAAGGAUGACUGCCCUAUGGGUUGUAAACUUCUUUUAUAUGGGAAUAAAAUGUUCCACGUGUGGGAUUUUGUAUGUACCAUAUGAAUAAGGAUCGGCUAACUCCGUGCCAGCAGCCGCGGUAAUACGGAGGAUCCGAGCGUUAUCCGGAUUUAUUGGGUUUAAAGGGAGCGUAGGUGGAUUGUUAAGUCAGUUGUGAAAGUUUGCGGCUCAUCCGUAAAAUUGCAGUUGAAACUGGCAGUCUUGAGUACAGUAGAGGUGGGCGGAAUUCGUGGUGUAGCGGUGAAAUGCUUAGAUAUCACGAAGAACUCCGAUUGCGAAGGCAGCUCACUGGACUGCAACUGACGCUCAUGCACGAAAGUGUGGGUAUCGAACAGGAUUAGAUACCCCUGUAGUC
rnacentral:rRNA from 1 species